rnacentral:misc_RNA from 1 species
AACGCACCUUGCACUCCUUGGUAUUCCGAGGAGUAUGCCUGUUUGAGUGUCUUUAAAUCAUCAAUCUAGCUUUGCUUUUGUGAAGUUGGAUUGGAUUUGGGGAUUGCUGGUGAAAGCUAGCUUCCCUUGAAUGCAUUAGUUGGACUGAGUUGCAACGCUACGUGUGGUGUGAUAAUAUCUUCACUGCAUAGUUGUAAUGAAGUUUGACUUCUAACCGUCCUUCACUGGACAAUUAUUGACCAUUGGACCUCAAAUCAGGUAGGACUACCCGCUGAACUUAA